GGUUGUGGCUCAGUGGUAGAGUGCUCGCCUCACACGUGCAAGGCCAUGGGUUCAAUCCUCAGCACCA
rnacentral:tRNA from 1 species